rnacentral:rRNA from 1 species
UAGGGAAUUUUCGUCAAUGGGCGCAAGCCUGAACGAGCGAUGCCGCGUGAGUGAAGAAGGCCUCGGGUCGUAAAGCUCUGUUGCGGGGGAAAAAAGGCAGCAUCAGGAAAUGGGUGCUGACUGAUGGUGCCCCGCCAGAAAGUCACGGCUAACUACGUGCC